rnacentral:lncRNA from 1 species
GGGAGGUUCUGUAAUCUCUGUCUUCAUUAUACGCUGUUAUCUGUGGUCUGAUUACCGCUGUGCUGUUCUGAUGGCAGGACAGCCUUGUCUGUAGAAAGGUUGCUACCCUUUACCUCUUUGAAAUGAACUUCGUCCCCUCAUAUCUGCUGGCAGCCAUCGACACUCCUUUCUGUCUCCAGCAAGAGUGAGGGGCUCCCUGCAGCCCCUGGGGCCCCCCACACUCCCGAGCAGCUCGGUUCCUGUCCCCAGUCCCCUCCUUGCUGUACCCAUGCAGCCAAAUGAGCUCCCCCACGUCCUGCUGGCAUCCUGCAGCUCCCCAAAGGGAGGCAUUUCGUGGCAAGCACCUUAUCGCAGAUUAUGACCAAACACACAGAAGCACUCCCAGUGCCCAGUGUAAUCCACUCUUUACUGCCAUAAUUUGACUAUAUUUUCUAUUUGCACAGGGAGGCCUGGGUGGAGCGGUGUGUAUGCUAUCACAGAAGUGGUCUGCUCCACCUCAGGGCUGCAAGCUCGCUGGAGCCAGCGCGCCGGGCAUCGCCCCAAGGCGCUCAGCAGCUCUUUGUACUCGCAGAGCGUCUCCUCGCAUGCGGCAGGCACCAGACUUUCUCCUGCCUUAGCAAGCAGGUUAUAAUGGCCCAGUCAUCGGCAACAUGUGGCCAAAUCCUCAAUGACAUUUCCUGUUUUCAAAUGGCAAUCAGCGGGCGUGACGUAGCAGUCCUGAGUGCAGCAGCAGAUGCAAAGGUCCUGUGAGUAAUGCAUGGGGAAAAUCAAGCAGCAAGAUUUCAGCUCUCCAAACCGACCAGCUGCUAACCUUGCAGAAAGCACGGAGGUGAGAUUAAACGUGGGAUUGCAUAUUUAACUGCAGCUGCAGAGGCUGGCAGCCUUUGCUCCGGGCCAGCCUGGGUCAGGUUGCCUUGCUAGGGCAGUGGCACUGUCCCUGCUGUCACAGUUCCCAAACAGUCCUCAGGAUUUUGUGUAAGUGAAAGCUUGACCAAAGGUCUCCUGUCUCUUAG